UAACUUGGGAUUUCCCGGGCCCAUUGUCAAGUCAGCCGAACCCAGGGCUCCUCCAUUGUGAUGAUAAUGGAUUCCGUGUUGUUGGCUCAAAGGUCACAGGGUCACCGUAAGCUCCUUAAUGGACUGUGAAAUAACUUUAACUGCAUUAACCUCUCCGGAUCACAUGGGUGGCACCAACAUCCACUCCUGAAAUUCUCAUUCGCUUAUAGAGACAAUACUAUUAGAUUAUUAUAUUUUCCAUUUGCAAUAGCAAUAGGCUUGAAGCAAUUAUGCAGCUAAGCAUUUCCAUUAAGCCAAUAGGACCUUAAAGAAGAUUAACUAGAGCACCUUUUGCAUCAGAUGGAAGGGGGUGGGGGAAGAAAACUCUGACUCUCACCAGAGUUCAGGUAUCUUCAAACUUGAAGGUAGCUGGUCUUACUAGACACAGAUACCUAAUGGAAAAAGUCUCACUGAAGGGUGCCAAGAAGAACUAUGAUUCCCUCUCAUGGCUACACAGCUUAGCCAGAUCUACACAAAGUAAAUCAAAUUGGAUAUUGAAAUCAGGCAGCACCAGAUAACAAUGCAGAAAUUGGAAGAAGAUGUGGUCACAGAAAAUUCAUACUAAUUCCUCCCUAUUCCCUCCCUGUUAAAGAUGCAGCUUCUUAAUUCUUCACUUUCUGCCAUCAGAGUGGUAUCCUUUGCAUAUCUGAAAUUGUUGAUACUUCUGACAUCCUUAACUCCAGCUUUUGAUUUAUCCAGCCUGUAUGACCUUCACCCUGGAAAUAAUAGACCAAAAAUGAUUUAUAGGAAAAUGAUAUCCAAGACAAGAAAGGAGAUAACAAGAAAGUCCCUAUCUGCCCUUAAUGAAUCCAAGUCACCUGGCCCAGAUGAAUGACUUCCUUGAAUCCUGAAAAAAACUGACAGAUGGGAUUGCUGAGCCAGUAUCAAUGAUAUAUGAAAGACCAGUGAAAAUGGGAGAGGUGACACAAGACUGGAAAGAGGACAAAUGUCUGAAUUUCCAAAAACGGAGAAAAUUAAAUCUUCAAAAUAUAG